UUUGUGAAACGCGAGAGCAAACCAGAAGCGGGGAAGGUUAAAUCUAUGUUCUGUUGUGUCUUUUUGCUAUGAAUUCUGACCCCAGAUUUAUUUAUAUUUCCUCGGAAUUGGUAUUUAGGGUUUCCCUUCCCUUUUUCAGAAGCUGAAAACAUGCAAUCAUUUUGAGUGGCUGGAUGAAUACGUUGAGAGGCUUCAAACGGAUGGCUUAAUUGAUUUGAGGCACGGGGCAACCCUAGAGGUAGAUCUGCCAUCGGCGGUGGAUAAUAAGGGCUAUGCCAAUGUUCCUCCGAUGGUGGCGGAUGCGGAACUCAAGGUGGAAUUGAAGAAGAUCAACAAGAACUUAAGGCAGUUGAUCGAUCUGAAGAAGCACGCAAAUCUGAUGGCCGCGGGAUUUUAUUUUUCAAUAAUUGUUGUGGGAUUUGUUUACUUGUUGAUCAUCAGUCGUUAGUAGUUGUUAACAAAUUAUUUCAGUCAGCUUCUGUAUAAGCAAUGUCAUGUGU